AUUUUCCGAUGGGAGAAGAAGAACAGCAUCUCAGAGGGCACAUCCGAACUUCAGCCGCCAUGGCGAUAGAGGGGGAGCAGCAGGCAGGGGGCUUUGAAGAAGCAGCUCUAGCCGGAUCAUCAACCAGGUCCACAUCACACACAUCUAGAAUAGUUAUUCAGAAAGUAGUAGAGGUCGUAGCUACAUUAUCCGACUACAAAAGAUUUUUGGUAGAGGAGAUUGGUUUUGAGGGAGUACUGCGCAUCCCCAUGAUACCGAAAAUCAACUUGAAGUUUAGCAAGUUCCUCAUGAGUAAGGUCGAUCUCAAAGACCACUGCAUCAUCUUGAGAGAUGGGGGAAAGCCAAUUAAAUUUCACCCAGAGGAUUUCCACAAAGUUUUUGGCAUCCCAUGCGGGCAACGAGAUAUACAUGGAACAGACGCACACAUCACAAGUGAAGCAAUUGAUUUCAUGAGGAACUCCAUAGGAUGGACAGACAAAUCCGAUCGCAGUUUAAGCUCGCUCGAAGCGUUCAUUUGCAAGGAAAUAAAUGAACUAUCUAGCCGUUUAGAGAAGGAUUGCUUCAAGAUGGCGUUCGUCGUCUUCGUGAUGGGCAAUCUGUUUGCCCCAUGCACCAAGCAUGAUUACUCAACCAUUGACUACUGGGGGGCAUCAAAGACGCCGACAACAUUGCCCUCUUCAAUUGGUGCAAAUAUUCAUUUGAAGGUCUACUGGAAGCAGUUCGAAAACUGAAGCUGGAAACAGAUGCAGACAUAACUCUGGACCACCUCUCCGGGUGUCAUCUAUUUCUUCAGGUUUUCGUGCUGGACAAUGUUGAGUUGGGCAUUAUGAACUUAAAGCAAACUACCAUGCCACGGAUACAAUUGUUCGAUGGAGCGACCCUGAAAUGGAUGAUCCUCGUGUGCUCAGCAAGAAAGCUAGGGAAAACAAUUUUUAUUGUACCGGAGGCAAGACAUUGGAACGCCAUGUGCUACACUUGGCACAACUACCAAAACGAGAUCCACAUGAAGAAGAAGGCAAUCGAGACCAAGGCUGAACGUUCAGCAAAUCAAUACACAAUUGUCAGACACACCCUAGUUGUACCAUGAAAGGAAGAGCAAAUCAACCCGGACAUAGCCAUUGGACACCUUACACAGACACCAAGCAGCAACGUCGACUUUAGCCCCGGUGACUAUGCUCGCUGGAUUCAGAUGCAAAACCCAGAACUGGCUGCGUCUCCCUUAGGUUGGGCACUGAAAGAGCAUAACGCAAAGUGUGUCCACAUUGCAAACGAAAUGAAAAGGAACAUUGCAAACCAAAACAAUCUUAUUGUACUGGCCAACCAAUCAGACCCUUCGGUGGUGCAGGCACACACAAUGAUGGUGUGCCGUCUAGACUCAACGCCAACAUAGUCGGAAGACGGCUGGAGUUGUCAUCUCCAUCCCCAACGACCAGCCAACGCGACCAGUCGGCUGUCAUACCCAUUGCGGAUCAGCUAUCCACCACACCGACCAGAUGCCAAAAGCGAUCAAGGAUAGACGAUGCGAUGCACCACCAUUUGAUCUCGACAUAGACGGCGACAGUGAAGCCAGCACGCCCAUCAAGAAAGAUGGAAAUGGCAGCCCGCUUUCACCUACAGCGGCAACUAAGGCAUACUGUGACAACCUCGUUGGACAACUAAUGAUGCUCAAUGAUGAGAUCGGGGACACCGAGGGGCACACUGUGUUUGGACAAGUGAAUGGUAUGCCUAUUAUCAAAACCAAGGUUGCUCACACCAAGUUCACAGAAGACCCAUGGUCCAGUAACCGUACAAUGUGCACACAUGGUGAAGUUGUCCGGAAAGCCAUCAGGGACUGGAUGCGAUCAAGAACACAAUUCCACCUAUCAAGGGAUUGGGUAUCGCACCCUGCCCCGCGGUUUAUUGCUGUAAGUGGCAACGCCAUCAAGUCUCAAAUAUGCGACGGUGCUGAAAUCGACCACGAGCUCGGGUCCUUGAUCAUACGUCGGAUGGCACAGAUGGAGUCACAUGCUCACCGCGCCACCCCUGACGAACAAUACCGCUUGAUCCUCGAGCCCGACUUCUCGUCCCAUGCCAUUGCAGGAGAAAACACCACCAGAAUCAUGUCAAUACAAAGACAAUCCACUCGAGUAGAUGUCAAAUGCAAUAUUUCAAACUGCCGGAUGGUUACCAUCCCUGCAGUCAUGCAACAUGGGUGGUCUAGCUUCAAUUGAGACAUGAUGCACCAGAUGAUAACAAUAAUGGAUCCAAUGGCAUACCAGACAGAGGACGCGAACCGAAAAACAUGUCUCAUGUACGCGGCCGAGAAGCUCCAUCAAGCUCUUUUCGAUUGCAUUGAAGAAUUCUUCACCGAGUGGCACUGUGGCCGGACGAGUUGGACGAACAAGACCCCUCUCUUGUCAACCACAACAUUUACAAGGCAAGAGAGUGCCAUGUGUGUCGUCCACCUACUUCGGCAAUUCAAAGGGAACUCGUUGGCGAAACCGCUCACCAGGGCAACUAUUGCCAAUGAAAGGGAUUCAAUCAUCAUUGAGAUGAUACACAUGGAAGGCAACACCGCUUCCCUCCAGCUGGAAGGUCUUGACACGGUCGCCAAUGCCCUAAACGAGACGGUGGCAGAUUCAGGGGUCUAGUCCUAAUGUAGUCACGAGGAAACUGAAAUAAAUAAACACCCCUUGUGUGGUAGAGAUCCAUUGUGUGUUCAUCUCCACAUGUUCUACAAUCUGUAAUAAAAUGGUGGUUUUUUUCACAGUAUGCACUAAACUAGAUUUCCACAAAAC
rnacentral:rRNA from 1 species